rnacentral:rRNA from 1 species
UACGUAGGGACCAAGCGUUGUUCGGAUUUACUGGGCGUAAAGGGCGCGUAGGCGGCAAUUCAAGUCAUCUGUGAAAUCUCCGGGCUUAACUCGGAACGGUCAGAUGAUACUGCUUUGCUAGAGUGCGGAAGGGGCAAUCGGAAUUCUCGGUGUAGCGGUGAAAUGCGUAGAUAUCGAGAGGAACACCUGAGGUGAAGACGGGUUGCUGGGCCGACACUGACGCUGAGGUGCGAAAGCGUGGGGAGCAAACAGG